UGGGGAAUAUUGCACAAUGGGGGAAACCCUGAUGCAGCGACGCCGCGUGAAGGAAGAAGUAUUUCGGUAUGUAAACUUCUAUCAGCAGGGAAGAAAAUGACGGUACCUGAGUAAGAAGCACCGGCUAAAUACGUGCCAGCAGCCGCGGUAAUACGUAUGGUGCAAGCGUUAUCCGGAUUUACUGGGUGUAAAGGGAGCGUAGACGGAUAGGCAAGUCUGGAGUGAAAACCCAGGGCUCAACCCUGGGACUGCUUUGGAAACUGCAGAUCUGGAGUGCCGGAGAGGUAAGCGGAAUUCCUAGUGUAGCGGUGAAAUGCGUAGAUAUUAGGAGGAACACCAGUGGCGAAGGCGGCUUACUGGACGGUGACUGACGUUGAGGCUCGAAAGCGUGGGGAGCAAACA
rnacentral:rRNA from 1 species